rnacentral:rRNA from 1 species
GGAUCAGCAGGUCGGUCGUGCCACUGGUAUGCACUGGCCUUGCUGAUUCCUCCUUCUUGAUGAGCCGUAAUGCCAUUAAUUUGGUGUUGCGGGGAAUCAGGACUGUUACUUUGAAAAAAUUAGAGUGUUCAAAGCAGGCCUUUGCUCGAAUAUGUUAGCAUGGAAUAAUAAAACAGGACG